rnacentral:rRNA from 1 species
GACGAACGCUGGCGGCGUGCUUAACACAUGCAAGUCGAACGGUGAAGGGGAGCUUGCUCCCUGGAUCAGUGGCGAACGGGUGAGUAACACGUGGGCAACCUGCCCCUGACUUCGGGAUAACGCUUCGAAAGAGGUGCUAAUACCGGAUAUGAACCCUGAGGGCAUCCUCGGGGUUGGAAAGUUUUUCGGUCAGGGAUGGGCCCGCGGCCUAUCAGCUUGUUGGUGAGGUAGUGGCUCACCAAGGCGACGACGGGUAGCCGGACUGAGAGGGCGACCGGCCACACUGGGACGGAGACACGGCCGAGACUCCUACGGGAGGCAGCAGUGGGGAAUAUUGCGAAAUGGGCGAAAGCCUGACGCAGCAACGCCGCGUGGGGGAUGAAGGCCUUCGGGUUGUAAACCUCUUUCAGCAGGGAAGAAGCGAAAGUGACGGUACCUGCAGAAGAAGCACCGGCUAACUACGUGCCAGCCGCCGCCGUAA